rnacentral:rRNA from 1 species
AAAAACYYUCGGCAACGGAUAUCUCGGCUCACGCAUCGAUGAAGAACGUAGCAAAAUGCGAUACUUGGUGUGAAUUGCAGAAUCCCGUGAACCAUCGAGUUUUUGAACGCAAGUUGCGCCCGAAGCCAUCUGGUUGAGGGCACGUCUGCCUGGGCGUCACGC